UUCCGGCAAGAAGUAAGAUGUUUUCAAUUGCUUGAUGAGGAAGAACGGAGUAGAAAGAAGGAAAAAAUUUCUGGAGAAAAGAAGAGAUGGCAAAGCACAGAGCAGUGUUUAAAGAAGCAGAAAAGAAGUGAUAGAUACCUCUAUGAUCUUCAUUAUGUGAGUGUGCUUGAUUUGAUUUUUAAAAUUUGCUGCCAGCAUAAAUUCUCUAAAAUUAACUUAAAAUUGGUUGAUUGUCGGCAAAAUUGCUACUGAAGAGAAAAUAGGCACUACCAUGAUUUAGUAGGAUUCAUUGGGGCUUA
rnacentral:lncRNA from 1 species